GAUGAACGCUGGCGGUCUGCUUAACACAUGCAAGUCGAACGGAACCCUUCGGGGUUUAGUGGCGGACGGGUGAGUAACGCGUGAGAAUCUGCCUUCAGGUUCGGGACAACAGUUGGAAACGGCUGCUAAUACCGGAUGUGCCGAGAGGUGAAAGCUUAAGUGCCUGGAGAUGAGCUCGCGUCUGAUUAGCUAGUAGGAGUGGUAACGGCACCCCUAGGCGACGAUCAGUAGCUGGUCUGAGAGGAUGAUCAGCCACACUGGGACUGAGACACGGCCCAGACUCCUACGGGAGGCAGCAGUGGGGAAUUUUCCGCAAUGGGCGCAAGCCUGACGGAGCAAGACCGCGUGAGGGAAGAAGGUCUGUGGAUUGUAAACCUCUUUUGAUCGGGAAGAAGACAGUGACGGUACCGAUCGAAUCAGCCUCGGCUAACUCCGUGCCAGCAGCCGCGGUAAUACGGAGGAGGCAAGCGUUAUCCGGAAUUAUUGGGCGUAAAGAGUCCGUAGAUGGGUAACCAAGUCAGCUGUUAAAUAGUGAAGCUUAACUUCAUAGAGGCGGCUGAAACUGGUUGUCUAGAGUGUGGUAGGGGUAGAGGGAAUUUCCAGUGUAGCGGUGAAAUGCGUAGAUAUUGGAAAGAACACCGGUGGCGAAAGCGCUCUACUGGGCCUGCACUGACACUGAGGGACGAAAGCUAGGGGAGCGAAAGGGAUUAGAUACCCCUGUAGUCCUAGCCGUAAACGAUGGAUACUAGGCGUUGCCCG
rnacentral:rRNA from 1 species